rnacentral:misc_RNA from 1 species
CGAGCAACCCACUAUCAAAAGGCGAAAGCUUGCAAAUUUACAUAAUGAAAUACAAACAAUAAGUAUAAAAUUUAGUUAAAAACAUGCAAUUUUAAAAAGAAAGAAGAAGAGAAAAAGAAAAUACCUAUUUCGCUGGAAAAUUCAAAUGUAAAACCCUAAAAGAUUGUAAAGGCUUCAAAAUCCGACGUGAAUGUGAGAUUUGGUAUGUAAUGUGAGAUUUGGUAUAUAAAAAGAAGGAUUUUGUAGGAAAUUUGGCGUGAAGAGUAAUUCGGGAGAGAGAGAGAGAUGAAAGACGAAAGACAAAAAGACUGUUGAAAAAGAAAAGAGUGAAUUCGAGUUUUUAAAAACUCAAUAUUCAGCAGUCGGGUUUAAGUUUUUCGGUUGCCGCUCUUGGUUCUGCCAAAUUUGAAAACUGAAAUUUAGGAGUUUCGACUGUCGAAUCAUGAAGUUUCGAUUAUCGGUUUGCUUACCGUCUAAUUUUUAAAAAAGGGUUUUGAAAGUUCGGCAGCCGAAUUAUA